rnacentral:rRNA from 1 species
GUGAGCGUAUUAACAGGUGUGACGCAGGAAGGUAGCCCAAGCCAGGCGAUGGUUGUCCUGGUGCAAGUGCGUAGGCCGAGAGAUAGGCAAAUCCGUCUCUCAUACAGGCUGAGACACGAUGCGGAUAAAAAGUGGGUGAUCCUAUGCUGCCAAGAAAAGCAUCGACGCGAGGUUCAAGCCGCCCGUACCCCAAACCGACUCAGGUGGUCAGGUAGAGAAUACCAAGGAGAUCGAGAGAAUCGUGGUUAAGGAACUCGGCAAAAUGCCCCCGUAACUUCGGGAGAAGGGGGGCCACCCGCUUAUACGGACUUGCUCCGGAAAGGGUGUGGUGGCCGCAGAGACUAGUGGGUAGCGACUGUUUACUAAAAACACAGGUCCGUGCUAAGACGCAAGUCGACGUAUACGGACUGACGCCUGCCCGGUGCUGGAAGGUUAAGAGGACCGGUUAGCCGCAAGGCGAAGCUGAGAAUUUAAGCCCCAGUAAACGGCGGUGGUAACUAUAACCAUCCUAAGGUAGCGAAAUUCCUUGUCGGGUAAGUUCCGACCUGCACGAAUGGCGUAACGACUUCCCAACUGUCUCAACCGCGAACUCGGCGAAAUUGCACUACGAGUAAAGAUGCUCGUUACGCGCAGCAGGACGGAAAGACCCCGUGACCUUUACUACAGCUUGGUAUUGGUGUUCGGUGUGGCUUGUGUAGGAUAGGUGGGAGACUGUGAAGCCAUGACGCCAGUUAUGGUGGAGUCAUUGUUGAAAUACCACUCUGGUCACUCUGGAUAUCUAACUUCGAACCGUAAUCCGGUUCAGGGACAGUGCCUGGUGGGUAGUUUAACUGGGGCGGUUGCCUCCCAAAAAGUAACGGAGGCGCCCAAAGGUUCCCUCAACCUGGUUGGCAAUCAGGUGGCGAGUGUAAGUGCACAAGGGAGCUUGACUGUGAGACUGACAGGUCGAGCAGGGACGAAAGUCGGGACUAGUGAUCCGGCAGUGGCUUGUGGAAGCGCUGUCGCUCAACGGAUAAAAGGUACCUCGGGGAUAACAGGCUGAUCUUGCCCAAGAGUCCAUAUCGACGGCAUGGUUUGGCACCUCGAUGUCGGCUCGUCGCAUCCUGGGGCUGGAGUAGGUCCCAAGGGUUGGGCUGUUCGCCCAUUAAAGCGGUACGCGAGCUGGGUUUAGAACGUCGUGAGACAGUUCGGUCCCUAUCCGCUGCGCGCGUAGGAAGUUUGAGAGGAUCUGACCCUAGUACGAGAGGACCGGGUUGGACGAACCUCUGGUGUGCCAGUUGUUCCGCCAGGAGCACCGCUGGUUAGCUACGUUCGGGAUGGAUAACCGCUGAAAGCAUCUAAGCGGGAAGCCGGCCUCAAGAUGAGACUUCCAUCACCUUCGGGUGGAGAGGCUCCCAGCCAGACGACUGGGUUGAUAGGCCAGAUGUGGAAGCGUGGCAACACGUGCAGCUGACUGGUACUAAUAA